AGAGUUUGAUUCUGGCUCAGGAUGAACGCUAGCUACAGGCUUAACACAUGCAAGUCGAGGGGCAGCAUUGGGGUAGCAAUACUUCAGAUGGCGACCGGCGCACGGGUGAGUAACACGUAUCCAACCUGCCGCUUACUCGGGGAUAGCCUUUCGAAAGAAAGAUUAAUACCCGAUGGUAUAAAGAGUUCGCAUGUUCUCUUUAUUAAAGAAUUUCGGUAAGCGAUGGGGAUGCGUUCCAUUAGAUAGUUGGCGGGGUAACGGCCCACCAAGUCUACGAUGGAUAGGGGUUCUGAGAGGAAGGUCCCCCACAUUGGAACUGAGACACGGUCCAAACUCCUACGGGAGGCAGCAGUGAGGAAUAUUGGUCAAUGGACGAGAGUCUGAACCAGCCAAAGUAGCGUGAAGGAUGACUGCCCUAUGGGUUGUAAACUUCUUUUAUAAGGGAAUAAAGUGAGGGACGUGUCCCUUUUUGUAUGUACCUUAUGAAUAAGGAUCGGCUAACUCCGUGCCAGCCGCCGC
rnacentral:rRNA from 1 species